rnacentral:rRNA from 1 species
CGGGACACGUGGUAUCCUGUCUGAAUAUGGGGGGACCAUCCUCCAAGGCUAAAUACUCCUGACUGACCGAUAGUGAACCAGUACCGUGAGGGAAAGGCGAAAAGAACCCCGGCGAGGGGAGUGAAAAAGAACCUGAAACCGUGUACGUACAAGCAGUGGGAGCCUCUUAAUGGGGUGACUGCGUACCUUUUGUAUAAUGGGUCAGCGACUUAUAUUCUGUAGCAAGGUUAACCGAAUAGGGGAGCCGAAGGGAAACCGAGUCUUAACUGGGCGUUAAGUUGCAGGGUAUAGACCCGAAACCCGGUGAUCUAGCCAUGGGCAGGUUGAAGGUUGGGUAACACUAACUGGAGGACCGAACCGACUAAUGUUGAAAAAUUAGCGGAUGACUUGUGGCUGGGGGUGAAAGGCCAAUCAAACCGGGAGAUAGCUGGUUCUCCCCGAAAGCUAUUUAGGUAGCGCCUCGUGAAUUCAUCUCCGGGGGUAGAGCACUGUUUCGGCAAGGGGGUCAUCCCGACUUACCAACCCGAUGCAAACUGCGAAUACCGGAGAAUGUUAUCACGGGAGACACACGGCGGGUGCUAACGUCCGUCGUGAAGAGGGAAACAACCCAGACCGCCAGCUAAGGUCCCAAAGUCAUGGUUAAGUGGGAAACGAUGUGGGAAGGCCCAGACAGCCAGGAUGUUGGCUUAGAAGCAGCCAUCAUUUAAAGAAAGCGUAAUAGCUCACUGGUCGAGUCGGC